rfam:Thermodesulfobacterium geofontis OPF15, complete genome.
CGGGGCGUAGCUCAGUCUGGUAGAGCUCCGGCUUCGGGAGCCGGGUGUCGCAGGUUCAAAUCCUGUCGCCCCGA